rnacentral:rRNA from 1 species
GGACUACCCGGGUAUCUAAUCCCGUUUGCUCCCCUGGCUUUCGCGCCUCAGCGUCAGUAGAGGUCCAGCGGAUCGCUUUCGCCACCGGCGUUCCUUCCGAUAUCAACGCAUUUCACCGCUCCACCGGAAGUUCCAUCCGCCCCUACCUCCCUCGAGCCGCGCAGUAUCCCAGGCACGUUUCCGGUUGAGCCGAAAGAUUUCACCCGAGACUGUUGCGGCCGCCUACGCGCCCUUUAAGCCCAGUGAUUCCGAACAACGUUCGCACGGUUCGUCUUACCGCGGCUGCUGGCAC